GCAGUGGGGGAUAUUGCACAAUGGAGGAAACUCUGAUGCAGCAACGCCGCGUGAAGGAAGACGGUCUUCGGAUUGUAAACUUUUGUACCUAGGGACGAUAAUGACGGUACCUAGGCAGCAAGCUCCGGCUAACUACGUGCCAGCAGCCGCGGUAAUACGUAGGGAGCGAGCGUUGUCCGGAUUUACUGGGUGUAAAGGGUGCGUAGGCGGCCAAGCAAGUCAGCUGUGAAAACUAUGGGCUUAACCCAUAGCCUGCAAUUGAAACUGUUUGGCUUGAGUGAAGUAGAGGUAGGUGGAAUUCCCGGUGUAGCGGUGAAAUGCGUAGAGAUCGGGAGGAACACCAGUGGCGAAGGCGACCUGCUGGGCUUUAACUGACGCUGAGGCACGAAAGCAUGGGUAGCAAACAGGAUUAGAUACCCUGGUAGUCCAUGCUGUAAACGAUGAUUACUAGGUGUGGGGGGUCUGACCCCUUCCGUGCCGGAGUUAACACAAUAAGUAAUCCACCUGGGGAGUACGACCGCAAGGUUGAAACUCAAAGGAAUUGACGGGGGCCCGCACAAGCAGUGGAGUAUGUGGUUUAAUUCGAAGCAACGCGAAGAACCUUACCAGGUCUUGACAUCCAACUAACGAAGCAGAGAUGCAUUAGGUGCCCUUCGGGGAAAGUUGAGACAGGUGGUGCAUGGUUGUCGUCAGCUCGUGUCGUGAGAUGUUGGGUUAAGUCCCGCAACGAGCGCAACCCUUACUGUUAGUUGCUACGCAAGAGCACUCUAGCAGGACUGCCGUUGACAAAACGGAGGAAGGUGGGGACGACGUCAAAUCAUCAUGCCCCUUAUGACCUGGGCUACACACGUACUACAAUGGCCGUUCACAGAGGGAAGCAAGACCGCGAGGUGGAGCAAACCCCUAAAAACGGUCUCAGUUCGGAUUGCAGGCUGCAACCCGCCUGCGUGAAGCUGGAAUUGCUAGUAAUCGCGGAUCAUCAUGCCGCGGUGAAUACGUUCCCGGGCCUUGUACACACCGCCCGUCACACCAUGGGAGCCGGUAAUACCCGAAGUCAGUAGUCUAACCGCAAGGAGGACGCUGCCGAAGGUAGGAUUGGCGACUGGGGUGAAGUCGUAACAAGGUAGCCGUAUCAGAAGGUGCGGCUG
rnacentral:rRNA from 1 species